rnacentral:lncRNA from 1 species
ACAACGUGAGGCCACUGGUGACGUCAUGUGUGGGCUUAAGCCUGACUGGAUGGAGGUUGGACGGCGAGGGGACUGGAGGCCAUGGAAAUAGAUCUUUGGAGGAGUUCUGCCCCAAAGGGCUUCUGAGAAGGAGAAGUCAAGAGUUUGAUGUCUUUGUCAUCCCUGCUCGGGCAGCAGGAUACUUUCCCAGAGGCCAUGGAGACAGGACGCCUAGGUGCCCAAGCACUGCAGAGAUGGAUUCCAGUGGGAGAUGCCAAAACUCAUUUUUCUGGCUGCAGUUCUCGGACAAGACUUGACCUCUUCCAGUUGGGACUCCCUGCAGUAAGUGUGUGAGCGCGCGUGUACACACACACACACACACACACACACACACAUUGAACUUGAU